CCGCACCACCAGGGCCGGCCAAUCAGGGCGCGUCCCCAGCCCGCCGCAGAGCCCGCCGCCUGCCAGCCAAUCAGCAGCUGGCUCCUCCCCCUCCUCCACGCGCCCAGCCAAUCGUGGCUGCGGGGCAGCCAGCCAAUCGGGCGUCGUGCCACGGUGCCGGGGGGGCCAAUGGGGAGCCUGCGAGAGGGGCGCGAACCCCCGGGCGGUUGCCGCGGCAACGCCACGCCCCCCCCAUUGUUCCCCCAUUGUGACGUCACGUCUCGUUGCCCCGGGCAACCAGACGGGGCGGGGCGGGGGGGGGAGGGGGCAGGUUCCCUGCUCCCACGGCACCUCCCAGUUGGGCUGGGGGGGUAAUUAACGUCGGGGGGGGUAAUUAAUGCUUGGGGGGGGUAAUUAGUGCCUGGGGGGGUAAUUAACAUCGGGGGGGGUAAUUCAUGCCUGUGGGGGGGUAAUUAACGCCUGGGGAAGGGUAAUUAAUGCCUGAGGGGGUCGUGGGGGAGGUGGUGGGGGGGGACAGGGAUUGGGUAGUUGGGGGUCUCCUGGUGUUGAGGGGGGUCCCGGGGGGGUCCCAGUACCUGCUGCUGGGGCAGGGUCAGAAAGUUGCCGUCGCGGGGUCCGAGGCCGACAAAGCGGGGGGCAGCGCCGUCGGCGCAGACGAACUGCACGAAGUCCUUGAGCGAGUCCUGGCCGUGGUGGUAGCGGAUGGUGGGGUGCGCGAAGUACGGCCCCGACUGCGGCAGCAGCGACCCCGACGGGAAGUGCAGCGCCGAGGCCGUGGCCCGCGGGCUGCCUGCAGCGAGCCUCAGCGCUGGGGGGGCAACGGGGGGGCCCCCCCUCCAGCCCCCUCCUACCCUUUAAAAGCCCCCCUCAAACCCUCCUGGUAACCCUUCCCCCCCCAUCCCUUCCCGUCCCUUAAGUCCCCUUUAGCCCCCCAUUACCCCCCCUUUAUUCCCCCUUUAACCCCCCCUUUACCCCCUCCCUUUACCCCCCCUCUUUAACCCCCUCUAAUUUACCCCCCCUUUUAACCCCCCCCCUUUGGCCCCCUCCCCCUCCCCUUCACCCCCCACCCCCCCAGCCCAGGGGUCUGGAAGGAGAAGGGGGGGGCCCAAGGAGAGGGGGGGGACCCCCAAUGAAGAGUCUGGGGAGGGUUCCAAAGAGAGGUCCUGGGGGGGGUCAAGGUGGGGGGGUCCUGGAGGGAAGGUGGGGUCCCAAG
rnacentral:lncRNA from 1 species